UACGGAGGGUGCGAGCGUUAUUCGGAAUUACUGGGCGUAAAGCGCGUGUAGGCGGGGAGACAAGUCUGAUGUGAAAGCCCUGGGCUUAACCUGGGAAGUGCAUUGGAAACUGUUUUUCUUGAGUACUGGAGAGGAAGGGGAACUCCCGGUGUAGAGGUGAAAUUCGUAGAGAUCGGGAGGAAUACCAGUGGCGUAGGCGCCCUUCUGGACGGUAACUGACGCUGAGACGCGAAAGCGUGGGGAGCAAACAGG
rnacentral:rRNA from 1 species